GUGUGUGUGUGUGUGUGUGUGUGUGUGUGUUUGUGUGCGUGUGUGUGUGUGUGUGUGAUCUCAGCGCUAUGUCUCUGUCCUAAUAAUAGAGGAGGCCGCCUGCUCCUUUAAGAGCCUAUACUUGUUGAAUAGCCUGCUCCACGAAAUACAUUGCAACAACAUGGUUAUCAAAGUAUUUCUCGCCUCUUCAUCGGGAUCCACCGCGAUCAAGAAGAAGCAGCAAGAUGUGGUCGGCUUCCUGGAGGCUCUCAAAGUGGACUACACUCAGCUGGACAUCGCCUGCAACGAGGAGAACCGCAUGUGGAUGAGGCAGAACGUCCCAGAGGAGAAGAAGCCCGCCAACGGCAUCCCCCUGCCCCCUCAGAUCUUCAAUGAAGAGGGCUACUGUGGGGAUUACGAAACAUUCUUCGACGCCAAGGAGGACAACAUGGUGUAUGUCUUCCUGGGGCUGCCUCCUCCUCCCGGGUCAAAGGAGGCCGAACAGGCCGACAAGGUACUCAUUGUGGAGAACGGGACCCGUGCGGAGGAAACUAAUGCCGAGGAGAGCCUUGAUGAAUCAAGAGAGGUUCCGGUGGAGGAGCGAAAUGGGAAUGCACACGGAGAGGAGGAGCAGGCAGCUGAUGAGGAGGAGGGGGAAGGCGAGGGUGGCGAGGAGGAGGUAGCAGGAGGCGAUGAUGAAGCCACGGAAGGAGACAAGGCCACCGCAGACGAGGAGGAGGAGGCAAUGGAAGAAACAGACAAGGUCACAGAAGACACACAGGCCCAAGCUGAGGAGGAAGAAGAGCAGGUAGCUGCAUGUAAGAAUUGGCAUGUCUCUUCAGUUUGUGUUUCCGGUCCACUGAGAUCGACUUACUCGAACCACUCAACUCUCGUAGACGCAUCCGUUUCAGAGGUCCUGCUGCAGUCUUGUUCCUCGUGCACGGCAUUUGACCCCUUCUUUGCCCUUUUGUCCAUCUCUUGGUUUGCUCCCUCCAGGAGGAAGAGGAUUUGCAGUCAGAGGAGGAAGAAGAGCUUCGACAGCUUGAGGUAGAUUCACCUGAUGUUUCUUUAACCUGCCCCAAUCCAUCCUCAGUUUCCUUUAUUGCUUCCUUUCAUCACUUCCCAGACUAUUGAGCAUUCCUUCAAAUGUUCUCUUCCACUAGAUAACUAGUGGACCUUGUCAGAAUAAGAUUGAGGACAGCACUGUUGGCCAUACCUUUGAGGUUUUUGCUUGCAACCUCAAGUGUGUAUUGUCUCCACUCACAAAUGCAGUUAUUGAAAGUAUGACCUCCAGUGCUUGUCGUAAGAACAUUUAGCCAGUAUUAGAAUAAUUUGAUUCUAAUAAUAGAAUAAAUGCAAUAUACUGACUAAUUUAAAGCUCCCUUACUCAUAUACACCAUUAGUUUGAUACUGCAUAGUCUGUGUGCAAUGACUUGACACCUCUUCUGCAUCCUUGUUUGCAUUCACACGAGCACAUAGACACAUCUGGGCAUGCACUUACACACGGGGAUGUCAUCUCUUCUCGGGGUGCUGGUCUCUCACUCUUUUUAAAAUCUCUGUUUUUCACCCACGCACUUUUACAGUUUCAGUUCGAUUGACUCACUAAAACCCUCUAAAAAAGCCUCCCCAUGCUCUCCGGAUGAGAGAGUAUUGAUUCUUUGGAGCCUUCAUUUGUUGUCACAGUGUCCUCACAGCAAUCAGCUGUAUAAGCAGCAGUGACGGCUUCGUGGCCUUUUUUGUUGUUGCAUAUAUGGCUAGACCUCCGGCAACAUUAAGCAACACACACUCCUGGAAACCAAACAUGUGCGUUGGAUCACACAUCGCUUCUCACACUGCGUAUUAAGCUUGCAAGUGUCUUUGUUAAGUUUGUGAACAACUCAGCGACUUUUCUCACAGCAUUUUCUUUUAACUCUGGGUUAACUUCCCGAGUGAAUUUCGGACUUAACCAGAUCCCCAGGAUAAAAAAUAAGAAAAAAGUCCAGAUCAUAGAAUGUCCUUCUUUGAUAUGCUGUGUGAAAAGAGCUCCGCCUCUCUGAGACAUUCCAGCCUUUGCCUGAUCUUCCGUCACGUAUGCUUCGCUGCUUUGCUUCGCCUUCUUUCCUCUCUACCUUUCCAUCUCUUUGGUUGUUGUCCCACUUCUCUUGCAGGAGCAAGACAAACAAGGCAGUGAGGUUGUUUCUGUGGUUUCGUGGCGUCCUAGUCUUUUUUUUUUAGGCUGUAUCAAGUUUAGGGUUUGAACUGUGCUCCCUCUUCAUUUUGUCUCUCUCUCUCUCUCUCUCUCUCUCUCUCUGUGUGCCGCAUGGAUUUAGUCGGUUAUUUUACAUGGAGGUGCCUGGUGGUGUGCAGCAUGAGCAAUAUGACAUGUGGAUUUAGGGUGGUCGCAAAAAUGCAAGUCCAUAUACAGACGUAUACCAAAUUACGUAUCACGUCGAUCUUCCUUCCUUCUGUGUGACGUUUCAUUUUCUAAACACCACAUGCUUUCAUCUUCUGUAGGAAGAAGAAGAGACUGAAGUACAAGAGGUAUAUAUAUAUAGUAUAUACUCUGUUUGGCAUUGUGUGAAUCAUAUUUAUAUGCGUGUUCGGACUGCAUACAAAGACAAUACAGGUUGGAGUCAAACAUUUCUGCGGUCUCCAUCCGAGGCAUGUCAUGAAAUCAAGUGCACAUGUGACUCACAGAUGAGCGUUACUUCGAGAUGGCAUCUGAACACACAGUCGUUAGUUCAGUGUUGCAUUAAAGACACAGCAUUUAUUCGGGCCUUGUCUCCGAGUCUGCCAAUACGUCUUUACUUGUUUUUGUUUUGAUGCCUUGAGAACAGGCGGAAAGAUUUCGAUGCGUAGCAUAACGUGGACAUGUUUGGUGAUGCUGCGCUGUGAGGAGACACUCUGACCUGACUGGGGGGACCUUUUUUUUAAGAAGACGGAUUACUGUUUGAAACAAAGUGGAUGCGACAAGUUCCAAAGAGGAUGGAUGUGAUGGAGCACUUCUUGUUGUUUUCGCAACACCACGAGGGAAAGAAUCACAGAAACAUAUUUAGUGACAUCAGAUGACCCACAGGGCUAUGAACUGGAGCCUAAUUAGUUUCCGGGGUGCGCAGAUCUGUUUGUGUGAUAGCGUUUGGCGCUCGCUAUCUUAAUUCGUACGACAGGAUGGAAAUUAAGUGAUUGUGGCGUCCGAUUAUAGGAAAUGACUCCCUUUGUCCCGCAGAGUGUGUGUUGUUUACUUCAAGAGGGCAGGCAUCAAACUGUAGCCACAAGGAGCAGUUCUCAGCCACUGCAGCUGAAUGAUAACACUUAAAGAAAACAUUUUAAAAAAAGAUCAUAUUUCACGGUGCGCCGUCUUAAGCACCACUCUUGUCUCCCUGAGGUCAUCUCAGGGUAAACAGAACUCCGGGGGUCAUUAAAUUAGCUCCCUUUCUCUCGCCCCUGCUGUCACUCUGGUUACUCCUUCUUCAUUUUUAACUCACCCUCCCUACGAACACUAACUCGUGAAGUCUCACCAUGCUGUCUUUGGGAGCGUGGCUUCACACAACCCCUGUCUUCUCUAUUUCUUUUUUCAACACGUCAAAGGAGGAGGAAGAAGAAGAAGACGACUUGGAAGAAACACAGGAGGAAGAGGCUGAGUAGUUAGAGCCGGGUGACCUCGUUGAUGCUGAUUUGCUCCGAUCCAGCCCGAAGGAGCCUCCCGCUACGUCUCCCCCUGACCCCUGACGAUUGAACCCCUCCACCUCUGCCCAAGGCCACACUGGACCCCACUGGAAACUGCUGCCGGUCAUGUGCUUGAAGGCGCCAUCCAAACGUCCUAACCCACAUUGCCCCCCCCCCCCCCCCCUUCCCCUUUGACUGCAAUGUUGACUUACUUUUUAUAUUUCGCAUUUAGAGACUGUAAUGAAAAUGUGCAGAGUAGCCUAUAGCGGUGUCAGUUUGUUUUUAAUGAAUAGCUUUUGUAAAAGGCAAAAGUGUUAUUUUGUUAGACUCAAACAUAUUUCUCAUGUUUUACUUUUAGAGAUUCUAGUUUUCUAACUCAAACAGACAGCGACCUUUUCAGAACAAAUGACCUUGGCAUACCUUCGCUCGUGGCCUACUUUAGAUUCAAAGGCUCUUUCUCACUCCAUAGUGUGUUCAGCAGAUUUACCAAAGUGCCUUGUUGACUCCUUCCACCAAGUGAAUGUAUCAAUGCAAACUAAGCCUUCUAGCGGCCCCAUGAGAAAAGACUACGCACAUACCGCAAACUACUCCACCAGCAUUACUCCUGCCAAUACUGCUGUCUAAUCGAUGCACUUUGUUGAAUGAAGAGUGAAACAUGUGACUACGUCUUGGAUGCAAUGGAAAAUGCAAUAAACUAGACUGGUAUAGAACGAAA